rnacentral:rRNA from 1 species
CGGAGCGGCGAACGGGUGAGUAACACGUGGGCAACCUGCCCCUAGCUCUGGGACAACUCCUCGAAAGAGGGGCUAAUACCGGAUACGACCUCGGAAGACAUCUUCUGAGGUGGAAAGUUUUUCGGCUAGGGAUGGGCCCGCGGCCUAUCAGCUUGUUGGUGAGGUAACGGCCCACCAAGGCGACGACGGGUAGCCGGCCUGAGAGGGCGACCGGCCACACUGGGACUGAGACACGGCCCAGACUCCUACGGGAGGCAGCAGUGGGGAAUAUUGCGCAAUGGGCGAAAGCCUGACGCAGCGACGCCGCGUGAGGGAUGAAGGCCUUCGGGUUGUAAACCUCUUUCAGCAGGGACGAAAACAGACGGUACCUGCAGAAGAAGCACCGGCCAACUACGUGCCAGCAGCCGCGGUAAUACGUAGGGUGCAAGCGUUGUCCGGAAUUAUUGGGCGUAAAGAGCUCGUAGGCGG